rnacentral:lncRNA from 1 species
CCCUCGCCGCCGCCGCGAAGAGCCAGACGCCUCGCGCCGCCCGCAGAGUAGGGGAUCCUGCUCGCUGCCUUCCCUGGAAACCUACCCAGGCGAUGGAGCAUGCGCAGGCGGCUCCUCCGCGGGCGAGCCCUCCGUGUGGUCCAUGGGGAGCGCUCCGGUUAUCCGGGUUUUAGGACGCGCUUUGAGGGACGUACGUGGAGACUGAGGAAAACCGGAGGGGAUUACUACGGGGACGAGGAAUGGAGGGGUCAGGAGGCGGGGCCGAGGAGAAGGGAGGAGGGGUCCUGGGAAAAUGGGCUGCGUUUCACAGGCCUAGAUGAAACACCUCCUCAAUGGGUGUUUUCCAAGCGGCUUCCCGCUCACUCUGGGUUCCCAGCUAUUUUCAUUCAUUCAAACGUUCCCUGGGCGCCUCCUUUAUGCUAAUCUCGGCGUUUGGUGCAGGAGCGCCAGAGAUGUCUGGGGUUCGGGCAAGUGACACGUCGGGGACUGUCUUCAUUCAUUACACCCCCCCAUGCUAAUGAGGAGGCCCUUCCAGAGCUCCUCAAGCGGAAAACUUUUGCAGUUGAGCUCUCUCGCCUUAGCGUUCUCCUUGGGUGUGAAAUGAGGUCAAGCCAAGGCCUCUAGCAAAGACACCCCUAAUGGCCACCUCGCAGACACACGCCAGAGCGCGGAGUAGUUCUCUCCAGAAGGGAAAACUGCCUUGGAAUUGAGAGCCACAUUCUCCCACCUCCGAGUCUGCCCAGAGGACCCGAUCAAAGCUCUUGCCGCUCGCGUGCUGCAUGGCCUCUCUAAGACCCCAUCGCAGCCACCACCGUGUGUGAGCCCAGGUGUGUGUUGAGACCACUACUGCACAGGGAACCGGGCCACCCGAGGGCCUGGCACAGCCGAGGACGCUGCCGGCUGCCCGAAUCGCGCUUCAGGCGGCCUGAUCCCGGAAGCCCCCGGGCAAACCUGGCCCCACCGGGCAUGGAACAGCAGGGUGAAGGGCCCGAAUCCCGCCCCCUCCUCCUACCUGCAGCCCCCCAUCUUUCCCCUCCUUUGCUCUUUCCUUUCCUAGAGAUUCCCAGAUCCAGCACUGCCUCCCGCAGGGAGCCCCAAAACCCGGAGAACUGGAAUUCGCCGCCCGAAACCUGUUGAAGGCGCUGCAGGAUUGGCGCGGCCCGCGCGAGCGGCACUGCGCAUGUACCCAAUGCGGGCAGUCCAGUCUCACGCUACACCUCCUUCCCACCGCCUUCCACUACUCGGCUCAGACACAACACGGCCGUGGGAAAUUUCCUAAACCUCGCGAGAACGUGCCCCUGUUGCCUAAGCUUUCGCCCCAAAUCUCGCGGAGCCAAGGCAGGACAGGUGUUUGCCUAGACCAGCUCCGGGCGCCGUUCGUGCAGCGCGUGCCCGGGAGGCGGGCGGCGGGCGGCGGGCGCGGGCGGGGUGGGAAGGGAGCGGCUUGCCGCGGAGGCGGGGCGGGAAGGCGCGUGGCUGGGAGCACGGGGCGGAGGGCGGCGGGGGAGGAGACCCGCGUCUCGCACACAACACGCACACGCCCUGUGACGCUGGAUGGAAGACGAGGGGUGGGGAGCCUCGAACGGAGGAAGGGGAAGCCAGGAGGUUGGAAGUCGCUGCCGGUACGGAGAGUGAGAGGUCAGGCUCUAGGGCAGGAGGAGCCCCAGGCCGAUCUCCCGGGGAGGUUUCCUGUCGCCCUCCACAAGCCUGGUACUUUCCUAAAACGUGUUAGACACCGCGCCCCCCGCCUCCGGGAGCUGACAGACAGCCUCCAGAGUCGGGUUUGAGUCAUGCCUUGAGUCACCUAGUCUGGCCACUACUUCGCUUACUUUGAAACAAGUUCUGAUUCCUUAGCUACUCUACUUUAGCAAUUGGUUUCUUUUUUUUUUUUUUUUUUUUUUUUUGAGACGGAGUCUUGCUCUGUCGCCUAGGCUAGAGUGCAGUGGCGCGAUCUCGGCUCACUGCAAGCUCCGCCUCCUGGAUUCACGCCAUUCUCCUGCCGCAGCCUCCUGAGUAGCUGGAACUACAGGCGCCCGCCACCACGCCCGGCUAAUUUUUUCUAUUUUUUAGUAGACGGAGUUUUACCAUGUUAGUCAGGAUGGUCUCGAUCUCCUGACCUCGUGAUCCGCCCGCCUCGGCCUCCCAAAGUGCUGGGAUUACACGUGUGAGCCACCGCGCCUGGCAGCAAUUGGUUGUUUUCUUUCUAAUCUACCCGCUGGCCCUGUGAGCUGGGUAGAAAAAUAAAUAAAUAAAUAAAUAAACAGCUCUGCGCUCUCGCCUUGUUGCCUUGUAUAGAUUCUUGCUCCCGUUUAAGGACACGAUUUUUAAAAUUUCUUGUCAGUCUCUUCUUAGCCUUUUGAAGUAAUCUUACAAAUCAGUUUCUGUUUUUUCCUCCCACUAAUAUGGCUUUUUUGCUUUCCGUCACCUUUCCGUAUUUUUAUUGCAAUAUUCCAUUUUACGUAUGGCUGCGGCAGGUGCUAUAGUGACUACUGUUUUAAAUGCAGCCCUUCCUUUUGGAUCAUUCAUCCAAUGAGUUCCUGAUUACGUAAAUUCUUCAAUCAGCCACGUUUCAGAUUGGCCCUGAUGUGGUUUCUAUACCAGCCUUAGCCUGGCAUUAUCUAGGAACCAGUGUCUUCCUGCUCACGUCACAGCCCCGCAAAUGUAGAGUUGAAUUGAAUUUUGAUAUUUGGAGGACAGUGAGUUCUCUAAUAGGAAACCCUGGUUUUUAAGUUGUUUUCAAGGUUUUAGGGGUGUGUGUGUGUGUGUGUGUGCGUGUGUGUGUGUUUGUGUUUGCCUAUUGAUUAUAUACACAAAAAAACAGACUUAAAACCAUUUGGUGCAAUAUCUCAGUGCAAGUCUGGCUUGGAACAGGAUAGCUCAGGAGGAGGACAAAGCCCUUGGGGCACAUAUUCCUUGGAGCUGUCAUCCCAAGAAGGUAUUUCAGUCAUGGCCUAGUCCAGACCACUGAUCUAAUUUGGAAUCAUGGCCUUCUGAGAGCCCCAGCGACCUUGGGAAGCCAUGGUAACCACAAAGGGAAUAACAGCUCCCCCUUUUUGCCCUAAAACAUGCUCCAUCUGCAGCCCUCCCCCAUCUCAGGAAAGGACAACUCCAUUCUUCCACUUAUGUCAAGAACCUUGGAGUCCUUGCCUCCUUUCUCACACCCAAGAUACAAUUGGACGGAAAAUCCUAUUGGCUCCACCUUCAGAAUAUACUCACAUUCCAAAUACUGUCACACCUCUUUAGCUACUAGCCUAGUCUAACCCAUCUUAUUUCCCACCUGGUUUAAGGAAGUUCCCUAACUGGUCCUCCCUUCUUCCGUUCUUGUCUUCCCGCAGUCUGUGCUAAUAGAGCAUUCUCAGUGGCCCUCUAGAACUCCUCCAUGACUUUCCCAUUUCACUAUGAGGACUUAGACAAUCUUGCCUACUGCCAAACCCCCCCUGAUCUAUCUGCCUUCACCUCCUCCUCUACCUCUCACUCUGUGGGCUCUCACCAGUUGCCUUCCUUACUGUUCCUGGGAUGCCCCAAGCACACUUUCAGCUCCAAGCCUUUGCUUUUUCCACUACCUGGAAUGCUCUUCCCUCAUAUACCUUAUAGCUCAUUCCCUCACUCCUUUCUUGUCUUUGCCUGAUGUCACCUCCUCAGGGAGGCCUUCCCUGACACCCUUCCCAAGAGGGACUCCCAUACUCCUUAUCCCCCUUUCUGCUUGAUUUUGUCCAUGGCACCUAUCAUUAACUAACAUAACAUUUAUCAUACUUGUGUGUUGUGUUUACUAUCUGCCUCCUUCCAUUAUAAUGUAAUAUUAAUAAGGGCAAGGACUUUUGUCUAGUUUGUUCAUUAUUCAAGCCUUAGCUGCUGGAACAAUGCCUGCUGUAUUAUAUUUGUAGAAUGAAUGGGGUGUCUUCCACUUUAGGGCAGAGUAAAAAUGAUUCUGAAGACUAAGCCUCCUAGGGUUCAAAACAAUAUUAGGACUAGACUAGCAGUGAGUACUAGCCUGCCUAGGGAGGAGAAAAAGGCAUAUGGAGCAACCACCUGUGUUGGUUUUUUGCAAAAAAAAAAAAAAAAAAAAAAAAAAAGUCGUCUGGGUUAGACCAGUAGAUGAGGCUGCACUUAAGAGUUUCCUUUACUCUCCAUUUUAGAACUUCAGGAAAAAAACAACAAAAACACCACUAGCCGGAUAUGUGUGUGUGUGUAUAUAU